CCGUCACCGGCGCCACGCAGAGGAUGCUCAGGGGCACGGUGAGGAUGUGGAAUGGAUCCAAAGGGCGCCAAAGCCUGGCAGGGUGGUGCAUUUGCUCCCCUCUCUUUGGGACUGCUCCACAUCCUUAGGGAUUCCUGUUGGGUCCUAGGUGAGGCCUUUGGAGCUCUCCUGGACCACAGUGGCUGUGCCAGCACCUUGCUGUCAGUGGGAUUCCUCUCAGAGCUCAUGAGCCCCCAAACCUGGGAUUCUUGGAAGGCUGUUGCUGAAAGUUGAUGGCAGGGCUGAUGACACAUUCCUCCACCCCUUGAGAGGUGCAAAGGCAUCCAGUUUCUGAGCUCGUGGCUGUACAGCUGCCUGGGCUGACUCACACACGUGGAAAUGACUUGUAUCUUACAGCAGUUUUCGGCGUGGUUGGUGCAUGUGGGUAAAAAGGAGGGGUUCUGUAACUGUCUGCAGAUCAGUUCCAAAUGGAAUUUUACAGCCUUCUUUGGCAGGAGAAGACAAGCACGUGCUGAAACCAGUUCAGGGCAGCUUUCAUUGUUUGUGAAAAAAGUUGUGUUGAAAGCUCUAAGAACCUGAAAUCCUUUCAUCAGCUCCAGAUUAGGAUGACAUUGAGUCAUCCCCAGUGUGAGCUUCCAGUUAAACCUGGGAGAAGAUUACCACAGUGACCUGACCAGGCAGAAAGUAGUACUGGUACCCACUGAGAUGUUUUCUUAAAAAACAAUAAGAAAACUUGAGCUGUUGAAGGCAACCCCCAUUACCUGAGCAGGUGCUUGAUGCUAUCUCCUUGAUGCUGACAAGAUGCACCUGAAUGGGAGAUCUCAGCUGUGUGUUCUAGAAGGGCUGAGAAGUAUUUGUCUCUGCUGAGCUGCUGCUGCAGGUUUAUGUGUGGAAUUAAUUUUCUCUGUGCUGCUGAUUUGCAAACAAAGCCAAUUGCUAAUGUGACCCAUAGAAGAUGUCAGGAAACUGUGCUGGGAUAAAAUACUCGACUGCUUCCAAGUGUUUUGUUCUAAAUGCUGGAAGACAUCCACACAGUCAGGCUGCAAUCAGAUCCACAGAGAGUAGAGAAAAAUCUGUGCCUUCUCAUUUCUGAUGAUGGCAGCCUUUGUCGUACUACCCCACACGACUAUCAGCUGUUUACAGAGGUGAUGACUGUUGGUGUGGUAGAUGGAUAAGGAAGAGGAGGAAGAAAAUGAUUCUUGACCAGCUGAAAGGAAGGUGGGGAGAGACCCGGUCAGUCUGGACCACCAGCCUGUAAUUCCAUAGAGAAGCAGCUUUCUCCUGUGGCCAUGGGUGUGUUUGUUGUACAAGGUAAAGUAAGUGCUCGUGCUGGGAGGAGCAGCAAAGCUCAGCACCAAACGACCUGGCACCUGCUAGAUCUUAAUCUGCUGUGUCAAAGGUGAGCUAAGGCUUAGAAAUUAGGUCUGUGAACAGGGUCAACUUAUCUUAGAAACUGGAUCAGUGCCUGCAGCCUGACAGACCAGAAAGGUUGAGCCUUGUCCUAGGGCCUCUGAAAACAAUGGAGCAGAUGUCUGCAUCUGUCCCAAAACAGAAAACUCCCAAACUUUCAUAAAGAAUCUUACUGGCUGUAAAAUUCCUGCUGCUCACACGGGCACACUGAAAGAAUAAAAGCUUCCAUUCAGGUUGCAUUGGUUAUGGUAAGUUUGUAUAUUGAGGUUGACUAAAGAGACACAAACUGAAGCUGUGAAGGAAAAUUUUAUUGUAAACAUUUUCUACUAACUUUAUUGAAAGGAUAAAGUGGGAAUAACAAAAAUACAAGACUGAAAACACACAAUUGCAGGCUCUGAGGAGCAAGAUGUUUCCAAGAGGAUUCAAAAGCGGUGCCUAGGAUUAGACAUAGGAGUGAAAUCCUCAGUUCUGUUGGGAACUUGUUCUUCUCCGUGAAAUGCUGUAACAACGCUAGGAGCACUGUAAUGGAUGUGUUCACCAAGAUGAGGUUGGAUUGCAUCUGCUGUGGUGGUAAUUCUUGGUUGUAAACCCUGUCUUGUGCAAGCUGGAGCUUCAGGCUGGACAUGCCAAAGUGGGUGCAAGUCCAGCAUUGCCACCGAGGGCUGGGCUGUGCUCUGAAAGCUUAGUGGGAAAGCAGAAGGACCAGAAAUACUUUCAGGCUCCAUUUUAUUCCUGAAGCACUGCCUUUUUGUAUUGCAUCUUCAGCUACCUGUUCUGUGCCUGCCUCUAUUCCCUUGAUUUCAUCUCUGCAAAAGCCUCCCUGGCUGCUUUGGGUCUGACCUGCCACUUCCAAUGGGAUAAGGUGAAGGUGACUGCAAAGUAGAAAAUAAUCCCAGCUGAAAAGCUGGAGGGAAAGGGGGUGGGGGGGAGGUGUUGUCCAAUGGUUUAUUUAUGGCAAAGUUUCCAUAAAAAAUGCCUUUGCUUCAGCCAAGAGACCUCCCUGGGGCCAAAGCGGGACCAUGAAGGUGUCCGUCCUAGCAGCGGGUGUGAGUGCUGAUACUUUUGGGCUGCGUGGUGCCUCUGGCCCCUCAGAGGUCAGGGCAAGGCUGAAGGAAGGAGGGGAGCUGCCACAGCUGCAGGUGAGGGCAAUAUUGGCUGUUUCA